UCUCUUUAGCUUUCACUUUUUUUUUCUUCGUUAAUCUCAUGUUUCCUAAUCUCACAAAUUUUGUCUCUCUAGUCUCUUUCUUCACCACCACUAAACCUUUGUCACAACCGGACCUCGUCUUCGCCUCCCCCACAGCUUGUCGUCUUUACAGCCAUAGCUCGCGUCGUCACCACCAUAGCUUGGUAAAGUCACUUCCUCUUAUAUGUUCUCUCUUUCUUUUCAUCUUCCUAUUUACUUGUAAUUAAUUUUUGUUUUGGUUACAGAUCUAAGAAGGAGCAGGGAAGGAGAAGAAGUGGUGUUUUGUUUUUCUGUUAUUAGUUAAAAAAAUGCGGAGGAUUUUGUUGCUAGCCACCUCGAGGUUUGUCUCAUACCAAUUCCCCAACCAUUUCUAUGUCUUUCAAAGAAUAUUGUUGAACAUUUGUGUAUGGCUUGCAGUUAUUUAUGAUAGAGGACGACUAUAUUCAAGUUAGGGAAGAUGCAAAGAAAAUGGCUCGAUCUCAGGGAUUAAAGAAGAGAACAGAGGCUUGAGGCGGAUGCUCUGGAGGCUGGAGGCGGAGGACUACGGUUACAAAGCUGGAGGCGGAGGCUCUGGGAGCGGCUUAGGUUUUAGGUUUAG
rnacentral:lncRNA from 1 species